rnacentral:rRNA from 1 species
AGUGAACGCUGGCGGUAGGCCUAACACAUGCAAGUCGAACGGCAGCACAGUAAGAGCUUGCUCUUACGGGUGGCGAGUGGCGGACGGGUGAGGAAUACAUCGGAAUCUACUUUUUCGUGGGGGAUAACGUAGGGAAACUUACGCUAAUACCGCAUACGACCUACGGGUGAAAGCAGGGGAUCUUCGGACCUUGCGCGAUUGAAUGAGCCGAUGUCGGAUUAGCUAGUUGGCGGGGUAAAGGCCCACCAAGGCGACGAUCCGUAGCUGGUCUGAGAGGAUGAUAAGCCACACUGGAACUGAGACACGGUCCAGACUCCUACGGGAGGCAGCAGUGGGGAAUAUUGGACAAGGGGCGCAAGCCUGAUCCAGCCAUACCGCGUGGGUGAAGAAGGCCUUCGGGUUGUAAAGCCCUUUUGUUGGGAAAGAAAAGCAGCAGGUUAAUACCCCGCUGUUCUGACGGUACCCAAAGAAUAAGCACCGGCUAACUUCGUG